rnacentral:rRNA from 1 species
UUAGGAAUCGUACACAAUGGACGAAAGUCUGAUGUCGUGACGCCGCGUGAAGGAAGAAGGUCUUCGGAUUGUAAACUUCUUUUAUAUGGGAAGAUUAUGACUUUACCAUAAGAAUAAGCAUCGGCUAACUCCGUGCCAGAAGCCUCGGUAAUACGGAGGAUGCAAGCGUUAUCCGGUUUUAUUGGGCGUAAAGAGCGCGUAGGCGGCCUAUUAAGUCUGAUUUUAAAUAUUACGGCUCAACCGUAAGCAUGGAUCGGAAACUGAUUGGCUUGAGUAUUUGCAGGGGUAAGCGGAAUCUGCGGUGUAGGGGUAAAAUCCAUUGAUAUCGCAGAGAACACCAAUGGCGAAGGCAGCUUACUAGGCAUUCACUGACGCUGAGGCGCGAAAGCGUGGGUAGCGAACGGG